GAUGAACGCUGGCGGCGUGCCUAAUACAUGCAAGUCGAGCGAACAGAUGAGGAGCUUGCUCCUCUGACGUUAGCGGCGGACGGGUGAGUAACACGUGGAUAACCUACCUAUAAGACUGGGAUAACUUCGGGAAACCGGAGCUAAUACCGGAUAAUAUAUUGAACCGCAUGGUUCAAUAGUGAAAGACGGUUUUGCUGUCACUUAUAGAUGGAUCCGCGCCGCAUUAGCUAGUUGGUAAGGUAACGGCUUACCAAGGCAACGAUGCGUAGCCGAUCUGAGAGGAUGAUCGGCCACACUGGAACUGAGACACGGUCCAGACUCCUACGGGAGGCAGCAGUAGGGAAUCUUCCGCAAUGGGCGAAAGCCUGACGCAGCAACGCCGCGUGAGUGAUGAAGGUCUUCGGAUCGUAAAACUCUGUUAUUAGGGAAGAACAAAUGUGUAAGUAACUAUGCACGUCUUGACGGUACCUAAUCAGAAAGCCACGGCUAACUACGUG
rnacentral:rRNA from 1 species